rnacentral:rRNA from 1 species
CGGCGAGUGAAGCGGCAAGAGCUCAGAUUUGGAAUCGUGUUUCGGCACGAGUUGUAAAUUGCAGGUUGGAGUCUUUGUGGAAGCGUGUGUCCAAGUCCCUUGGAACAGGGCGCCAUUGAGGGUGAGAGCCCCGUGGGAUGCGCGCGGAAGCAACAAGGCCCUUCUGACGAGUCGAGUUGUUUGGGAAUGCAGCUCUAAGCGGGUGGUAAAUUCCAUCUAAGGCUAAAUACUGGCGAGAGACCGAUAGCGAACAAGUACUGUGAAGGAAAGAUGAAAAGCACUUUGAAAAGAGAGUGAAACAGCACGUGAAAUUGUUGAAAGGGAAGGGUAUUGGGCCCGACAUGGGGAUUGCGCAUCUCUGCUCCUUGUGGGCGGGGCGCUGUGCUUUUCCUGGGCCAGCAUCGGUUUUUGCCGCAGGAGAAGGGGUACUGGAAUGUGGCUCCUCGGAGUGUUAUAGCCAGUGCCAGAUGCUGCGUGCGGGGACCGAGGGCUGCGACAUCUGUCUCGGAUGCUGGCACAACGGCGCAAUACCGCCCGUCAUGA